UACGUAGGGGGCAAGCGUUGUCCGGAAUCAUUGGGCGUAAAGAGCGCGUAGGCGGUCCGGUAAGUCCGCUCUGAAAGCCCGGGGCUCAACCCCGGGAGGCGGGCGGAUACUGUCGGGCUAGAGUCCGGAAGAGGCGAGUGGAAUUCCUGGUGUAGCGGUGAAAUGCGCAGAUAUCAGGAGGAACACCGAUGGCGAAGGCAGCUCGCUGGGACGGUACUGACGCUGAGGCGCGAAAGCGUGGGGAGCAAACAGG
rnacentral:rRNA from 1 species